rnacentral:rRNA from 1 species
UACGGAGGGUGCAAGCGUUAUCCGGAUUCACUGGGUUUAAAGGGUGCGUAGGUGGGUCUGUAAGUCCGUGGUGAAAUCUCCAAGCUUAACUUGGAAACUGCCAUGGAUACUAUAGGUCUUGAAUACCGUGGAGGUGAGCGGAAUAUGUCAUGUAGCGGUGAAAUGCUUAGAUAUGACAUAGAACACCAAUUGCGAAGGCAGCUCACUACACGAAUAUUGACACUGAGGCACGAAAGCGUGGGGAGCGAACAGG